rnacentral:sRNA from 1 species
AACAGGGAGAGGCAGCGCAGGCACAGGCGACUCUAGGUGAUGGGCACGUGUGUAGAGUGUGCCUGGCCAUCGAAAGUUUCGCCCUCAUGGUGAAGCAGACGGCUCAGAUGCUGCAGUCCUUCGGGACCGAGCUGGCCGAAACAGAGCUGCCCAAUGACGUCCAGUCGACAAGCUCAGUGCUGUGUGCUCACACAGAGAAGAAGGACAAGGCGAAGGAGGAUUUGAGGCUGGCACUAAAAGAGGGGCACAGUGUCCUGGAGAGCCUCAGGGAGCUGCAGGCUGAGGGCUCAGAGUCCAGUGUGAACCAGGACCAGCUUGACAACCAGGCCACCGUGCAGAGGCUCCUGGCCCAGCUGAACGAAACCGAGGCUGCCUUCGAUGAGUUCUGGGCAAAGCAUCAGCAGAAGCUGGAGCAGUGUCUGCAGCUCCGGCACUUUGAGCAGGGCUUCCGGGAGGUCAAAGCCAUCUUGGACGCGGUGUCCCAGAAGAUAGCAACCUUCACGGACAUCGGCAACAGCCUGGCGCAUGUGGAGCACCUACUGAGGGACCUGGCCGGCUUCGAGGAGAAAUCAGGCGUGGCCAUGGAGAGGGCCCGGGCCCUGUC